UACUUUUAAAAGACCUUCUUCGGAGGGUAUGCUUAAAGAGGGGCUUGCGUCACAUUAGUUAGUUGGUAGGGUAAUGGCCUACCAAGACGAUGAUGUGUAGCUGGACUGAGAGGUUGAACAGCCACAUUGGGACUGAGACACGGCCCAAACUCCUACGGGAGGCAGCAGUAGGGAAUUUUCGGCAAUGGAGGAAACUCUGACCGAGCAACGCCGCGUGAACGACGAAGUACUUCGGUAUGUAAAGUUCUUUUAUUGAAGAAGAAACAAUAGUGGGAAAACUAUCUUGACGUUAUUCAAUGAAUAAGCCCCGGCUAACUAUGUGCCAGCAGCCGCGGUAAUACAUAGGGGGCGAGCGUUAUCCGGAAUUAUUGGGCGUAAAGGGUGCGUAGGUGGUUUAAUAAGUCUCUAGUUUAAUUUCAACGCUUAACGUUGUCCUGCUAGAGAAACUGUUUGACUAGAGUGAGAUAGAGGUAAGCGGAAUUCCAUGUGUAGCGGUAAAAUGUGUAAAUAUAUGGAGGAACACCAGAGGCGUAGGCGGCUUACUGGGUCUUUACUGACGCUGAUGCACGAAAGCGUGGGGAGCAAACAGGAUUAGAUACCCUGGUAGUCCACGCCGUAAACUAUGAGUACUAAGUGUCGGGGUUAAACUCGGUACUGAAGUUAACACAUUAAGUACUCCGCCUGAGUAGUACGUACGCAAGUAUGAAACUUAAAGGAAUAGACGGGAUCCCGCACAAGCGGUGGAUCAUGCUGUUUAAUUCGAAGAUACACGAAAAACCUUACCAGGUCUUGACAUACUCUGCAAAACUAUAGAAAUAUAGUGGAGGUUAUCAGGGAUACAGGUGGUGCAUGGUUGUCGUCAGCUCGUGUCGUGAGAUGUUAGGUUAAGUUCUAAAACGAGCGCAACCCCUGUCGUUAAUUGCCAGCACGUUAUGGUGGGGACUUUAGCGAGACUGCCAAUGAAAAAUUGGAGGAAGGUGGGGAUUACGUCAAAUCAUCAUGCCCCUCAUGAUCUGGGCUACAAACGUGAUACAAUGGCUAUUACAAAGAGUAGCUUAAACGCGAGUUUUUGGCAAAUCUCAAAAAAAUAGUCUUAGUUCGGAUUGAAGUCUGCAACUCGACUUCAUGAAGUUGGAAUCGCUAGUAAUCGCGAAUCAGCAUGUCGCGGUGAAUACGUUCUCGGGGUUUGUACACACCGCCCGUCAAACCACGAAAGUGGACAAUACCCGAAAGCGAUAGCCUAACUGCGCAAGCAGAGGGAAUCGUCUAAGGUAGGGUCGAUGAUUGGGGUUAAGUCGUAACAAGGUAUCCCUACCGGAAGGUGGGGAUGGAUCACCUCCUUUCU
rnacentral:rRNA from 1 species